AAAACAAAAACAAAAACAAAACCAAACCACGGUGGGUUGCCUCCCACCAAGCGCUAGUUUUAAAGUCGCCAGCCCGACGUAGAGGAUCCCUUAACCAAAAUCGCUAUGAAAUGUCAGCUGAAUUAGUCCUCGUGAAAGCACAUCAUCCUCCAGUUCAGCUGCGGGUCCUCUUAAUGAGCAAGCAGAGCUCAUCGCAUUCUUCAUUCUCUCGAACCAAGAGCUAUGUCGAGAUC
rnacentral:lncRNA from 1 species